rnacentral:rRNA from 1 species
UUGGAGGGCAAGUCUGGUGCCAGCAGCCGCGGUAAUUCCAGCUCCAAUAGCGUAUAUUAAAGUUGUUGCAGUUAAAAAGCUCGUAGUUGAAUUUCGGGAUGGACACAUCGGUCGUGCCUUAAGGGGUAUGAACUGGUGUAGUCAAUUUCUCACCUUCUGGAGAACCGCGAUGCCCUUAAUUGGGUGUCACGGGGAACCAGGACCUUUACUUUGAAAAAAUUAGAGUGUUUAAAGCAGGCAUUUUGCUUGAAUACAUUAGCAUGGAAUAAUAAAAUAGGACGGCAUGAUUCUAUUUUGUUGGUUUCUAGGAUCACCGUAAUGAUUAAUAGGGAUAGUUGGGGGCAUUAGUAUUCAAUUGUCAGAGGUGAAAUUCUUGGAUUUAUUGAAGACUAACUACUGCGAAAGCAUUUGCCAAGGAUGUUUUCAUUAAUCAAGAACGAAAGUUAGGGGAUCGAAGACGAUCAGAUACCGUCGUAGUCUUAACCAUAAACUAUGCCGACUAGGAAUCAGACGAUGUUAAUUUUUUAAUGACUCGUUUGGCACCUUACGGGAAACCAAAGUGUUUGGGUUC